GACGAACGCUGGCGGCGUGCUUAACACAUGCAAGUCGAACGGAAAGGCCCUGCUUGCAGGGUGCUCGAGUGGCGAACGGGUGAGUAACACGUGGGUGAUCUGCCCCUUAUUUUGGGAUAAGCCUGGGAAACUGGGUCUAAUACUGGAUAGGACCAUGCUGUAGGUGGUGUGGUGGAAAGAUUAGUUUCGGUAAGGGAUGAGCUCGCGGCCUAUCAGCUUGUUGGUGGGGUAAUGGCCUACCAAGGCGUCGACGGGUAGCCGGCCUGAGAGGGUGGACGGCCACAUUGGGACUGAGAUACGGCCCAGACUCCUACGGGAGGCAGCAGUGGGGAAUAUUGCACAAUGGGCGCAAGCCUGAUGCAGCGACGCCGCGGGGGGGAUGACGGCCUUCGGGUUGUAAACUCCUUUCAGCCAUGACGAAGCCCUUGUGGUGACGGUAGUGGUAGAAGAAGCACCGGCUAACUACGUG
rnacentral:rRNA from 1 species